GCUGGACUUUUUCCUUCGGAAUUUCAAAGCGUUAUGGGCUGCUUGGCCUUUUAUCCGGAUCGUCUUUGCUCUAAAUAUAAACCAUAUUUUGAACUCUCAAGAUGGUUUAUGCUUUGCGAAAAAUUUAAAGAGAAUGUUUAUAACUUAUACAACUUUGCCUCGUGCUCCUUACUCACUAUAUCGCUCCAGUCAGGGCUCUCCUUUUUAAAAACAGAAGAUUGCAAUCGCCCUGAAAAAUAUAAUCCGAACUGUCCUGUUUGUAAUCCAGUAAUGAAGGAGCUCGCACAUG